GGGCCCGUGGCUCAACCUGGCAGAGCGUCCGUCGGCCCACCGGACGGUUGAGGGUUCGAAUCCCUCCGGGCCCGCCA
rnacentral:tRNA from 1 species